CCACCUUGGACUCCCAAAGUGCUGGGAUUACAGGUGUGAGCCACCGUGCCCAACCUGUGUGUUGCUUAUUGACGGACACACCUGAGAAAGUCGACAUAAGGCAAUUCCGUCAUUGUGUGAACAUCACAGGUGCACCUACACAGACCUAGAUGUCACAGCCUACCACACACCUAGGCCACAUGGUGUAGCCUAUUGCUCCUACACUACCAACCUGUACAGCUUGUUACCCCACUGAAGACUGUAGGCAACUGCAACAAAAGGGUCUUUGCAUAUCUUUUGCUCGUUUUAGUCCUAGGCAAUGACAUAUUUUAAAGGUUCACAGCAAACUGAGCAGAAAGCAGAGAGAAUUCUCAUACACCCAUUUCCCCACAUACGUACAACCUCCCGACGAUCAAUAUCCCGCCCUGGAGUGGUAUGUUUGUUACAGUCAAUAAAUCUACACUGGACAGCACUUUGGAAGGCCAAGGCAAGAGGAUUGCUUGAACCCAGGAGUUCAAGACCAACCUGGGCAACAGAGCAAGACCUUGUCGGUAGGUAGGUAGGUAGACAGACAGAUAGCAUCAGUCUACACUGACACGCCAUCAUUACCUGAAGUCCACAGUUAACAUCAGGGUUCGCUCUUGGUGUUGUACAUCCUAUGGGUUUGGACAAAUACAUAAUGAUGUGAAUCCACCACUAUAGUAUCAUACAGAAUAGUUUCACUGCCCUAAAAAAUCCUCUGUGCAUCACCUAUUCAUCCCUCCCUCUUCCUUAACCCCUAAAAACUAGUGAUCCUUUUACUGUCUCCAUAGUUGUAUAGCUUUGCCUUUUCCAGAGUGUCACAUAGUUGGAAUCAUAUACUAUGUGAUCUUUUCAGGUUGGUGUCUUUCACUUAGUAACACGUGUUUAUAGUUCGUCAAUGGCUGGGCACAGUAGCUCACCCCUGUAAUCCCUGCACUUUGGGAGGC